UGGCGGCGUGCUUAACACAUGCAAGUCGAGCGAUGAAGUUUCCUUCGGGAAACGGAUUAGCGGCGGACGGGUGAGUAACACGUGGGUAACCUGCCUCAUAGAGUGGAAUAGCCUUCCGAAAGGAAGAUUAAUACCGCAUAAUGUUGAAAGAUGGCAUCAUCAUUCAACCAAAGGAGCAAUCCGCUAUGAGAUGGACCCGCGGCGCAUUAGCUAGUUGGUGGGGUAACGGCCUACCAAGGCGACGAUGCGUAGCCGACCUGAGAGGGUGAUCGGCCACAUUGGGACUGAGACACGGCCCAGACUCCUACGGGAGGCAGCAGUGGGGAAUAUUGCACAAUGGGGGAAACCCUGAUGCAGCAACGCCGCGUGAGUGAUGAAGGUUUUCGGAUCGUAAAGCUCUGUCUUUGGGGAAGAUAAUGACGGUACCCAACGAGGAAGCCACGGCUAACUACGUGCCAGCAGCCGCCGCAAUACGUAGGUGGCCAGCGUUAUCCGGAUUUACUGGGCGUAAAGGGACCGUACGCCGAUGAUUAAGUGGGAUGUGAAAUACCGGGCCCACCUUGGGCGCUCCCUCACAAACUGCUUAUCUAGAGUGAGGAGAGGAGAGUGGAAUUCCUAGUGUAGCGGUGAAAUGCGUAGAGAUUAGGAAGAACACCAGUGGCGAAGGCGACUCUCUGGACUGUAUGCUGACGCUGAGGGCUGGAAAGCGUGGGGAGCGAGCAGGGAUUAGAUGCCCUGGUAGUCCACGCCGUAAACGAUGAAUAAUAGGUGUGGGGGUUUCAACACCUCCGUGCCGCCGCUAACGCAUUAAGUAUUCCGCCUGGGGAGUACGGUCGCAAGAUUAAAACUCAAAGGAAUUGACGGGGACCCGCACAAGUAGCGGAGCAUGUGGUUUAAUUCGAAGCAACGCGAAGAACCUUACCUACACUUGACAUCCCUUGCAUUACUCUUAAUGGAGGAAAUCCCUUCGGGGACAAGGUGACAGGUGGUGCAUGGUUGUCGUCAGCUCGUGUCGUGAGAUGUUGGGUUAAGUCCCGCAACGAGCGCAACCCUUGUCGUUAGUUACUACCAUUAAGUUGAGGACUCUAGCGAGACUGCCUGGGUUAACCAGGAGGAAGGUGGGGAUGACGUCAAAUCAUCAUGCCCCUUAUGUGUAGGGCUACACACGUGCUACAAUGGCUGGUACAGAGAGAUGCAAUACCGCGAGGUGGAGCCAAACUUAAAAACCAGUCUCAGUUCGGAUUGUAGGCUGAAACUCGCCUACAUGAAGCUGGAGUUACUAGUAAUCGCGAAUCAGAAUGUCGCGGUGAAUACGUUCCCGGGUCUUGUACACACCGCCCGUCACACCAUGAGAGUUGGCAAUACCCGAAGUCCGUGAGCUAACCGCAAGGAGGCAGCGGCCGAAGGUAG
rnacentral:rRNA from 1 species